AUUAUGGCUCAGGAUGAACGCUAGCUACAGGCUUAACACAUGCAAGUCGAGGGGCAGCAUGAUUCUAGCUUGCUAGAAUUGAUGGCGACCGGCGCACGGGUGCGUAACACGUAUCCAAUCUACCCAUGGCUCAGGGAUAGCCUUUCGAAAGAAAGAUUAAUACCUGAUAGUCUUACCUGGAGACAUCUCCUGGUAAGUAAAGAUUCAUCGGCGAUGGAUGGGGAUGCGUCCGAUUAGGUUGUUGGCGGGUAACGGCCCACCAAGCCCACGAUCAGUAGGGGUUCUGAGAGGAAGGUCCCCCACAUUGGAACUGAGACACGGUCCAAACUCCUACGGGAGGCAGCAGUGAGGAAUAUUGGUCAAUGGACGAGAGUCUGAACCAGCCAAGUAGCGUGCAGGAUGACGGCCCUAUGGGUUGUAAACUGCUUUUAUACAGGGAUAAAGUUCACUACGUGUAGUGUUUUGUAGGUACUGUAUGAAUAAGGACCGGCUAAUUCCGUGCCAGCCGCUGC
rnacentral:rRNA from 1 species